rnacentral:rRNA from 1 species
UCGAAUCAGGUAGGACUACCCGCUGAACUUAAGCAUAUCAAUAAGCGGAGGCAAGGAA